ensembl:snoRNA SNORD19 small nucleolar RNA, C/D box 19
GAGGCAAGAGGAAAAUAAAAAAUACCAUCUAAACUUUUCUGAAGACAGUAAGUUCCCCUCAGACAUACU